GUCGUCGUGGAGCAUGGAACUCGCUCCCAUCCGAUGCGUAGUUGGCCAGAGCAUGUAUAACGGAUAAGGGAGAGCCGGUGGUUCGACCCCACCCGACGACA